rnacentral:rRNA from 1 species
GAUGAACGCUGGCGGCGUGGAUAAGGCAUGCAAGUCGAACGCUUUAUUAUGUGUAGCAAUACAUGUGAUAAGGAGUGGCGAACGGGUGAGUAAAGUAUCGGAACGUGCCCAGUCGUGGGGGAUAACGUAGCGAAAGUUACGCUAAUACCGCAUACGAUCUAUGGAUGAAAGCGGGGGAUCGCAAGACCUCGCGCGAUUGGAGCGGCCGAUAUCAGAUUAGGUAGUUGGUGGGGUAAAGGCUCACCAAGCCGACGAUCUGUAGCUGGUCUGAGAGGACGACCAGCCACACUGGGACUGAGACACGGCCCAGACUCCUACGGGAGGCAGCAGUGGGGAAUUUUGGACAAUGGGCGAAAGCCUGAUCCAGCCAUGCCGCGUGCAGGAUGAAGGCCUUCGGGUUGUAAACUGCUUUUGUACGGAACGAAAAGGUUUGGCCUAAUAAGCUGAGCUCAUGACGGUACCGUAAGAAUAAGCACCGGCUAACUACGUGCCAGCCGCCGCGGUAA